AGAGUUUGAUCCUGGCUCAGAACGAACGCUGGCGGCGUGCCUGAGACAUGCAAGUCGUGGGAGAAAGUCGUAGCAAUACGGCAAGUAAACCGGCGCACGGGUGAGUAACACGUGGAUAACCUGCCUUAGAGUCUGGGAUAACCCGUCGAAAGACGAGCUAAUACCGGAUAAGACCACGGGAAGUUCGCUUCCUGAGGUAAAAGAUGGCCUCUGCUCCUGCAAGCUAUCACUUUGAGAGGGGUCCGCGUCCUAUCAGCUAGUUGGCGAGGUAACGGCUCACCAAGGCUAAGACGGGUAGCUGGUCUGAGAGGAUGGUCAGCCACACUGGGACUGAGACACGGCCCAGAGUCCUACGGGAUGCAGCAGUCAGGAAUAUUGCGCAAUGGAGGAAACUCUGACGCAGCAACGCCGCGUGGGUGAUGAAGGCCUUCGGGUCGUAAA
rnacentral:rRNA from 1 species